GACGAACCGAGCGAACGUUGUUCGGAAUCACUGGGCUUAAAGGGCGCGUAGGCGGGUGCUCAAGUCCGGGGUGAAAUCCCACAGCUCAACUGUGGAACUGCCUCGGAUACUGGGCGUCUCGAGGGUGGCAGGGGUAUGCGGAACUAUCGGUGGAGCGGUGAAAUGCGUUGAUAUCGAUAGGAACUCCGGUGGCGAAGGCGGCAUACUGGUCCACUUCUGACGCUGAGGAGCGAAAGCGUGGGGAGCAAACAGG
rnacentral:rRNA from 1 species